UGGGGAAUCAUAGUCGAUGGGCGAAAGCCUGAACCUGCGACGCCGCGUGAGUGAUGAAGGCCUUAGGGUCGUAAACCUCUGUUGUGUGGGAAGAAGAGCGUGACGGUACCACACGAGGAAGUCCCGGCUAACUACGUGCCAGCAGCCGCGGUAAUACGCAGGGGACGAGCGUUGUCCGGAUUUACUGGGCGUAAAGGGCGCGUAGGCGGUCAUUUAAGUCAGCUGUGAAAUGGUUUGGCCUAACCGGAUCAUGCGGUUGAAACUGGAUGACUGGAGUGCUGGAGAGGCAAGUGGAAUUCCCAGUGUAGCGGUGAAAUGCGUAGAUAUUGGGAAGAACACCGGUGGCGAAGGCGACUUGCUGGCCAGCAACUGACGCUGAGGCGCGAAAGCCAGGGGAGCAAACG
rnacentral:rRNA from 1 species